rnacentral:rRNA from 1 species
CCCCUAGAUGUUCUGGGCCGCACGCGCGCUACACUGACGAAUUCAACGAGUUUAUAACCUUUGCUGGGAGGCAUGGGUAAUCUUGUAAACGUUCGUCGUGAUGGGGAUAGAUUAUUGCAAUUGUUAAUCUUCAACGAGGAAUUCCUAGUAAACGCAAGUCAUCAGCUUGCAUUGAUUACGUCCCUGCCCUUUGUACACACCGCCCGUCGCACCUACCGAUUGAAUGGUCCGGUGAAUUCUUCGGACUGCGGCUUUGACUCGAUUUCGGUCGAGGCGUUGCUGCGGGAAGUUGAUUAAACCUUACCAUUUAGAGGAAGGUGAAGUCGUAACA